GACGAACGCUGGCGGCGUGCUUAACACAUGCAAGUCGAACGGUAAGGCCCUUCGGGGUACACGAGUGGCGAACGGGUGAGUAACACGUGGGUGAUCUGCCCUGCACUUCGGGAUAAGCCUGGGAAACUGGGUCUAAUACCGGAUAGGACCACUGCCUGCAUGGGUGGUGGGGGAAAGCUUUUGCGGUGUGGGAUGGGCCCGCGGCCUAUCAGCUUGUUGGUGGGGUGAUGGCCUACCAAGGCGACGACGGGUAGCCGGCCGGAGAGGGUGACCGGCCACACGGGGACUGGGAUACGGCCCAGACUCCUACGGGGGGCAGCAGUGGGGAAUAUUGCACAAGGGGCGCAAACCUGAUGCAGCGACGCCGCGUGAGGGAUGACGGCCUUCGGGUUGUAACCCUCUUUCAGCACCGACGAAGCGCAAGUGACGGUAGGUGCAGAAGAAGGACCGGCCAACUACGUGCCAGAAGCCGCCGUAA
rnacentral:rRNA from 1 species